rnacentral:rRNA from 1 species
GAUGAACGCUGGCGGCGUGCCUAAUACAUGCAAGUCGAGCGAACGGACGAGAAGCUUGCUUCUCUGAUGUUAGCGGCGGACGGGUGAGUAACACGUGGAUAACCUACCUAUAAGACUGGGAUAACUUCGGGAAACCGUAGCUAAUACCGGAUAAUAUUUUGAACCGCAUGGUUCAAAAGUGAAAGACGGUCUUGCUGUCACUUAUAGAUGGAUCCGCGCUGCAUUAGCUAGUUGGUAAGGUAACGGCUUACCAAGGCAACGAUGCAUAGCCGACCUGAGAGGGUGAUAGGCCACACUGGAACUGAGACACGGUCCAGACGACUACGGGAGGCAGCAGUAGGGAAUCUUCAGCAAUGGGCGAAAGCCUGACGGAGCAACGCCGCGUGAGUGAUGAAGGUCUUCGGAUCGUAAAACUCUGUUAUUAGGGAAGAACAUAUGUGUAAGUAACUGUGCACAUCUUGACGGUACCUAAUCAGAAAGCCACGGCUAACUACGUG